rnacentral:rRNA from 1 species
AUACAGAGGGUGCGAGCGUUAAUCGGAAUUACUGGGCGUAAAGCGCGCGUAGGCGGCUUAUUAAGUCAGAUGUGAAAUCCCCGGGCUCAACCUGGGAACUGCAUCUGAUACUGGUAAGCUAGAGUUUUGGAGAGGGAAGUAGAAUUUCAGGUGUAGCGGUGAAAUGCAUAGAGAUCUGAAGGAAUACCAGUGGCGAAGGCGACUUACUGGCCAAAAACUGACGCUGAGGUGCGAAAGCGUGGGUAGCAAACGGGAUUAGAAACCCUAGUAGUCC